CAUCACCGUCCAUCCAAUGUGCUGGUUCCAACAUCACCACCCUGCCUUUCAUGAUUAGGAAGGGGACACAGUGAGUACAUCCACUGAGACAUUCUCCAAGGAUGUCUUGAUGCCUUCAUAUUGAUCCAAAUAUUUCCAUUGGUAUCAAACAAAUGGAAAUAUUUCCUUUGGAAGGGAAUAUAUCCUCACCUGAAUAAGUAUCAAUGCCUACUGGAAAAAGCAUCUUCAUUUGCUACCCAGAUGAAUAUAUCCUCAUCUGAAUAAGUAUGAAUGCCAAUUUGCUACCUAAGACCUUUUGUUAGAUGAUGCCAGGAGACUUAAUUAUAGGAUCUAAUGGUGACCCUGGUAUUAUAGAAUAUCCACAAAGUAGUAUUUGCUAGGGUUGUAAAGCAGCAGCCUUGCCCUGGUGGUUCCAACAUUUGAUGAAGGGGAGGUUCCCGUGCAAGCUAGAAAUGGGGAGAAAAGAAUGUUGUUAUAUGGCAUAGUCUCUGGUGUGAGCCCAUGUAUAAGGAUUUGGGUGAUGUUGCUUACAGCUCUACUGAGGUCAAGCUGAUGGGUCCAGAAUGGAAUUGGCAGCAUUUUCAUGAUGAAAUACAGGAGAAAUGAAAGGACGAUCCAUGCAAAAAAAUUCUAGAACACAGAGGCUCUUCCAUCCAUUCCAAUAAUGUGUCCAAUACGCUCAACACUGUUUGAAGUUCUAUAGCUUUGAUUCUUAAUGUCUUAACAAUAGAAUUCACACUACUCAAAUUUGUCAACAAUAAGAUUAAUUUCAUGCUUCAGCUCUGGGUGGACUUGCAUACUGAUAGUGAUAAUAGUUAAUUUAUUCUUGACAUAUGAAUUGUUUUGAUGGUAUAUUUGAAAAUUAGACUCUUAAUUUUUUAUUUUUUUUAGCAUUCAGCAAUAUUGAUGUUAAAUGCAGUUUAUUUAAAUAUUUAGUUAUGUGUUAACUUACUAUGUGGACUUUACAAUAUGCAAUUUGUGGAGAAACUAAUAGUUCUAGCAAGAGCUAUUUUGAAUUUCUUUAGAAAUGUGAAAAGUAUUACAAUUAGCAGGUGAGUUGGCACAUGAAUUUUGCAACCACAUAGUUCAACAAAGUGAAAAACACUCACAACGUUCUGGUGAAAAACACAAACGUACAGUAUCUUUACUGCCAAGCUAACUCGAUAAAACAUAAACAUACCAUUUGCAUUUUCUUCUUCAGCUCUGCAUUGGCAUGUUGAUAUGCUUCAGCCACAGCAUUCAGGUAAUAUAUAGCAAGACUACAAAAUCAAAUGUCAAGUGUUCUUUAAUCUCUGUGAUACUUGAUGAUGACUUAAAGUAGAUAAUUAGAUGAAGGAAUCUGAAAGACUGUCUUUAAUACAUCGCCUAAUUCAAGGAACAUGCAGUCUCUUGAUCCUGAUUACAGGAAUGCAAUCUGUGCCAAAUGUGCUCUCAAGGUGGUUUGGGUUAAAAUCUGUAUAUUUAAUCUGUAAUCAGUUUAUUAACCACACUACAGAAACAAUCAUUUAUAUAUGAGAAUACAAAGAGAACUUUGGAAGACCGAA